AGGACGAACGCUGGCGGCGUGCCUAACACAUGCAAGUCGAGCGGAGUUGACAAGAGGAAGUUUCGGAUGGAAUUUGUAAUUAGCGGCGGACGGGUGAGUAACGCGUGAGCGACCAACCUUGCACAGGGGGAUAACGGACCGAAAGGUUCACUAAUACCGCAUGAGACCACGGUGUUGCAUGACACAGGGGUCAAAGGAGUAAUCCGGUGCAAGACGGGCUCGCGUCCGAUUAGGUAGUUGGAGGGGUAACGGCCCACCAAGCCUAUGAUCGGUAGCCGACCUGAGAGGGUGAUCGGCCACAUUGGAACUGAGAUACGGUCCAAACUCCUACGGGAGGCAGCAGUGGGGAAUAUUGGGCAAUGGGGGAAACCCUGACCCAGCAACGCCGCGUGAAGGAAGAAGGUUUUCGGAUUGUAAACUUCUGUCCUUGGUGAAGAGAAGAAGACGGUAGCCAAGGAGGAAGCCCCGGCUAACUACGUGCCAGCCGCCGC
rnacentral:rRNA from 1 species